rnacentral:piRNA from 1 species
CGAAUCGAAGGCUCUGAAACGUCGGCC